GCGGAGUAUAUUAGUCACUUCAUUUUAAUUGUCAUUAGUCUUGAUAAAAUAACAUUUACAAUAUGGUGUACUGUAAAAAAUUAACUGCAAAUAACAGAAAUAAAUGUGUGUAUACUGUAUCAUUUUGUGAAUAUGACCGAAAUCUGGAUUUAUUCUGACCAUUUUCUUCAGUCAAAUUUUGUCUUUAAUAACGGUCGAAUAAUUUGGCAGAUGCUGGAUCUAAUCUGACCGUAGCCUUAAGCUACGACUAGACCACCGACAAUUGUCCACUUUCCUAUUAUCAGAGAUUACCUUAUUCUUAUUAUUUAUAUUAACAAAUCACAGGAUUAUUUAUUAUUUAAUUAUUUGAUAAUGCAGACUGAAAAUACUUAAUAGUGUAAAUAAAUAAUAAUACAAAGUAUAAUAUUAUCGUCGUUGUCGACAUCACGAACAAAAAUGGUAAAUCUGCAAAUAAAAUAAUAAUUAUCACUACAGUACCUAUAAGAUAUUAAAUGUAAGGUAAGUAUAAUAAAAAAAUGGAAUUUAUACAAAAAUAAAAUGUUUUUUAACACGAUUCAUUAGUUAUUAUUUAUUGGAAGAAAUUGGAUUUUUGUUGUUUUUAAGUUUGGUGAAGGUUAGGUGACAUGAUUUAAAUGGUGACGCGCUAGCUGUACCACGAUGUUUUUCUUUCUGCCAUUUGGCUGGUCCCCAGAGACAUUCUACAUUUUGAGUAAGUACGUGCUUCACUUAGAGGAUCUACAAAGUUUUUGCUGUGAUUUAUUGUCAAAUGUUUAUAAUCAGCUUUUUCAAGUUCCCUGGAGUUCUAUGCCCGCCAACAAUCUGAAUUAUUCUUCCCGUUUUUGUAUAUAAUAAUAUUGCAUUCAGGAGAGUAGACAUGAUAAUUUGACGAGGAACAUUGACCAAAAUACAUACUUUAGUUUCACGACAUAGUACUCCAAAAAUCCAUUUUUGCGGAAGUAUUCCGAUGUUAAGAAAAUUAGUUUUCGUCUGUCUCAACAAUUUUACCUAGGUUUCUUGUCUCAAUACUGAAACACAAACUUCUCGUAAAUAUAGUUCCAGUCUAUGACAGUAUUUUUGUUCAUUUUUCAAAUUUUUUUCGCACUAUUUUAUAGAAGUUGAUUUUUCAGUCUGAGCAAAAAUAAAUAGUACAAGUAUAUAACAGUCAAAAAUGGAAUUCAACUGUAUUCAAACUAAGUGUUAUUCCGAACACCUUCCUUUUUUUUGUCAAUUUUUUAUAUUAAACUUCCAAAAUAUGAAUUUUCUGAAGUUUAUAUUCUUGCAUUUUUUUUUUUUAAUGUUUUAAAUAUCACUUUCAAAUGUCCGUAAUAUUAUUAUUUAAUUAAUAAUAAAAUAAAAUAAACAGUAUACACAAAAUCCGUAAUAUUGAUGUGAUUACUGCAGCGAAACUGUCUACUUUUAUAAUACUGAAUAUACACUAUGUUAGAAGUUUAGUCAAGUAUUGACUGACCAAAAAAAUAGAAAUAAAUAGAUCCACUAUAUUACUAUAUAACUAAAUUACAUUACUAAACUACUCAACUAAAUCGGUCUGUUCAUACACGUUACAUACAUACGUUUCAUACACGUACAGUUACUAAAUAAAAUACUCGCUAGACGGUACU